CACGUAGGGUGCGAGCGUUGUCCGGAAUUAUUGGGCGUAAAGAGCUCGUAGGCGGUGUGUCGCGUCGGCCGUAAAAACCUGCAGCUUAACUGUGGGCUUGCGGUCGAUACGGGCAUCACUGGAGUUCGGCAGGGGAGACUGGAAUUCCUGGUGUAGCGGUGAAAUGCGCAGAUAUCAGGAGGAACACCGGUGGCGAAGGCGGGUCUCUGGGCCGAUACUGACGCUGAGGAGCGAAAGCGUGGGGAGCGAACAGG
rnacentral:rRNA from 1 species